rnacentral:lncRNA from 1 species
GUAGUUUUGGUGGAACUCCAAAAAAUAGAGAGGUGUUAAAAAUCAUUAGGAAUUUAUUUUCAAUGGAAAUCAAAUAUCCACAGUACUAGAAAGGAUUUUACAAGGCAAAAAUACAACAUGAAGGUGGGUACCUGGAGCUGACCUUGGUUACUCUGCUGUCAGGGGGGAUCAGUCUGUGGUCUUCCUGUUGGCAGAUAAUCCUAAGGCCUGCAGGCCUGUCGGGGGGACGGAGCUGAGGACUUUCUCUCAGCUUCCAUCAGCUGCAGCCCCCCAAAGACAUACUGCAGGCCAAGGCAGGUGUCAGUUAGGAACUGCCCCUGGACGACGUUGAUCCCUCUUCUCAUUUCAGAGUGUGGCAGACUGAGACCCAGGGAGAAGUAUCAUAAUCUCCAGCACAACCACUUUUGCAUCAUUCCAUUUAUUUCUGAGAUGUGUUUGGGGCCUUGCACAUGACCGAAGGGGUGCUUGGCAUUCUGGGAGGGCGUUGGUCUGAACCAGGAUGUCCCAGAGGGAGGUGCUGCUCCUGGAUGGGUGUUGAGGGGACCAGGCCUGGCUGGGCAUAGAUCAAGGGGGUCAUCUGCCCUGUUGUCCUCUGGUCAGGGGAGGGGCCGGUUGGGGCCUGAGUCUGGGAAUCCCCCUCCCCACCCCAUCCUGAUUGCUUUGGAAGGGCGGCCCACCAUCAGCGAAAGGGCGGGGUUGCCAGCAGCUCCUGGGGGCUGCAGGAUGGGACCCAUUUAGCCUCUGCAGUCAUCUGACCCUCAUGACUCAGGCCUAGCCCUGCCCGUGGAGGGCAAUGGGCCAGUCUGAGCUCAUCACCAUUGCUCAGAACAGAAGUGGUAAACAAGUUUGCCCUCUGCCUCCUGCCCCUGAGAGGAAGCAGGGAAGAGGGUGAGGUGGGGGCCUCCAAGCACUCCACCCGGCCUAAGCCAUCUACGUAACACAGGUUCACGCUCUGUUUCUUCUAGCAAGGCUGAAAUGCAGAAGAGGCAGCCCCUCUCUGCCUUCUGGGAGCCCCCAGGCUGGUGGGAAUCACAACCUUGCUCCAGGAGCCAAUCGAAAGGGGGACGCAGAGGUGCAGCUUUCUGGAAACCUCUCCUGGUAUAGAGCCAGGGCCAGGUGUCAGGCCUCUUCUUGGCUUCAAGAGGAUUCUCAUUUGCCUUUCUCUUGGGGAAAAUCUUCCCUCUGGGACCCUGGAUGGCCUGACUUCCAUAAUUAUAGGAGCCUCAUGCAUCGAGUACCUGUUGGAGGCCGGGCACUUUACAUACAGCAUCAUGUUCAAUUCGCACAAUAUGCUUUCAAGUGAGUAUUUCUCACAUUUUAUAGAUGAGGAAACUGAGGUCCAGAGAGAUUAAAGAAUGUGC